GACGAACGCUGGCGGCGUGCCUAAUACAUGCAAGUCGAGCGAAUGGAUUAAGAGCUUGCUCUUAUGAAGUUAGCGGCGGACGGGUGAGUAACACGUGGGUAACCUGCCCAUAAGACUGGGAUAACUCCGGGAAACCGGGGCUAAUACCGGAUAACAUUUUGAACCGCAUGGUUCGAAAUUGAAAGGCGGCUUCGGCUGUCACUUAUGGAUGGACCCGCGUCGCAUUUAGCUAGUUGGUGAGGUAACGGCUCACCAAGGCAACGAUGCGUAGCCGACCUGGGAGGGUGAGCGGCCACACUGGGACUGGGACACGGCCCAGGCUCCUACGGGAGGCAGCAGUAGGGAAUCUUCCGCAAUGGACGAAAGUCUGACGGAGCAACGCCGCGUGAGUGAUGAAGGCUUUCGGGUCGUAAAACUCUGUUGUUAGGGAAGAACAAGUGCUAGUUGAAUAAGCUGGCACCUUGACGGUACCUAACCAGAAAGCCACGGCUAACUACGUGCCAGCCGCCGCCGUAA
rnacentral:rRNA from 1 species